UCGUCUUUCUGCAUAUGGUUGUU
rnacentral:miRNA from 1 species